UAGGUUUUACACUUAAGUCUAUGAUCCAUUUUGAGUUAAUUUUUAUAUUUGGUACAAAGUUUGGAUAACAGGUUUUGUUUUGUGUUUCGUUUUGUUUUGUUUGGCACGCAGAUAUCCAAUUGUCCCGGCACCCCUUGUUGAAAAGACUCUUGUUCCUCCACUGAAUUAUCUUGGAACGUUUGUCAAAAAUCAAUCGACUGUUUACAUGUGGGCCUAUUUCUGGACUCUCUUCUGUUUUGCUAUUUGCCCGUCUCGAGGGUGAUGCCACACUGCCCUGGUUCCUGUAGCUUUAUGGCACUGCGCUGGGACCUAGGAAUACGGUUGCGAACCAGACAAAGUCCUGCCUGCAUGGAGCUUACAGUGUGAUGGACGGCUCUGGCGACAGGGACCAACAAAGCAAUGCAAAAGAUCAGGGGCCCCAAGUGCUCUGAUGGAAACCACAGUGGGGAACCUUCCAUGCAGGUAGUCUGGGGUGAUGGAAUGUCACAGAAGAGAGAUGCCCAGCAAGGCCGGAGCAGAGGCCCACGGCACGGCCAGACACUGGGGUAGGCGUUGAAUGAGCCCCAGCUGACCAGGCAAACCCACGAAAACACUAACACGGAGAGUGCUUUCUGCAGUAGUGACUGUCAAGAGAUUUUAGUCCACUUAAUCCUCACGACAGAUCGUAUGAGGUCGGUGCUGUCACUGUAUCCAUCUUACAGCUCAGGAAACUGAGGCAGACGCAGGCAGAAACCAGGAGGGCUGAGACUGGAACACUGGCAGUAUUUCUCCAGAAUCUCCCAUUUAACCACUGAGCUACACACCCAGCCAGCGUAAAGCCAGCUAAUGAUAGACAGGGUCCUACCUGGCUUACGAAGGCAGUUGGCAUUUACAAGUGCACAGGUGGCCUAGCGGAGGCAAGAACGGGCUUCGGAAUUAGGCCUGGAUUCCACUCCCCGCACUGACACCAACGAACCCUGAGGCUGACCCUCCCCGGAGUCUGCAUUUCCUUCACUGGGAAGUGGAAGGAACACCUGCCUUAGCAGUGGGUGUGAGAAAUGUUGGGUGAGAAGGUUCUGGCGUAUGGCAGAUUUUCAUUAAACGAUUACUUUUAUUACUUUGACAGAUGAGCUGGGGAGGUGGCCUGCUCAAAACUGAGACUUGAGAAGAAUCUCUCUUAAAAGAGAGGCCCAAUCUUCCUCGGCUAUGGGGGCGCAGAGGAGGGGUGACAGCUAGCUGAAGGGAUCUGGUGGCUUCAGAGGACACGGCAUGAGCAAGUGGUUGGGACUCUGGCUUCAGAGCUCAGCAGACUCGGGUUCAAGUUCCGGUAUCCAGCACGUGCUCACUGGGUCUCCUUGGGGAGUCGCUUAACUUCUUGGAGUCUGUGAAAUGAGGACGCUGAGAGUACCUUCCUCGUAGGGGUGAGAAGAAUGGGUGGCAUCAUUCAGGGAAAGGAGUUCUGGGCACACCGGCUGGCACAUAGUGUCUAUGGAGGACUCCACGUGGCAGGGAAAUGAUGUCUCUGGCCGAGGGCUAGCAAGGACCCGAGACCUGCCAAAAUCCACGUAAGUUUAAAAGCAGAUCCGCCGCUGGAGCCUCGAGGUGACCAAAGCCCUAGUCGAUGCCUUGACUCUAGCCCUGUGAGAGUCUUCGAGCCGAAGACACCCCCCGAGGGGCAUUAGGCUUCCUGACCCCCAGAGACCGCGUUUGUGGUUUUUAGUUGUGUAACUUGUUACGCAGCUACGGAUAACUAAUACACCAUCAGAUGAGUCUGCUGGAUGAUGAGUGACACGUGGCUCGGUCACUUCCUUUCACCCAGCCAGACAACCGCUGGAUGUGAGAGUGAGGCCAUCCCAGACCAACUAGCCCUUAGUCAACCUGUCAGCUGCUUGCAGACGUGGGGUUGGGCCAAGCCAGGAUCAGCUGUGCCUGGCCCAGAGCAGCAGAAGUCCUGCCUGAACUUGGACCCGGCCGCAAUGAUAUACAUUGUUGUCUUAAGCUACUAAGCCUUGGGAUGAUUUUGUACCCAGCAGUAGCUGACUGAUACAGCCUGUGUAGCCGGGGCUGUGUGCACACAGUAGGAAAUGGGGCUGGGAAGCUGUGCAGGGGCCUAAUGUGGAGGGCUUUGCUGCCAGGUUAAGGCAUCUGGAGUCUAAUUUGCGGGCAGUCGGGGCAGGUUUCGAGCAGGAGAAGAAGGUCAUGAUCAGAGCUGUGGUUGAAGACAUUUCUUGUGGCAGUGGCAUGAAUUGGAGGCAGCGGGAUCAUUUAGGGGGCCGCUGUGUCAUGAGGCCGAUGGGCAGUGACGGAGGCUUGAAAUUAGGAAACGGUGAGGAAUGGGAGAGAACAGUGGAGGUGGAAUCAGUGAAAACCGUUCUGGACUGGGUUGGGGGCCUGGCAUUGGGAGAGUGGAAGUCGACACCCAGGUUUUGUUCCUGGGAGCCUGAAUGGUCGGUGGUGCUGUUGACAAAGACGGGGAGAUCAGCACGGCGGAUAGGGAAAUGGGAGGGGUGAUUUGGGGUGGACUGAGCGUUCAGUGCUAAAGAGGCCUGGGAAGAGGCUUAGGAGACAGUGACUCAAGACUGCAAAGGGAGCUUUAUCCCCUGUCUAGCGUACUGUCAGGUCUCAGAUUGGGCAACUGAGAGAGCGUGAGCAAAGGCCUAUUUUACAAGGGUGUGCGAAGAGUUUGCGCAUUGCACAGGGGCGGUGAGUUAGCCUGGGCUACCAAUGGUGAAUUAGCCUAGGGCUACCCAUGGGCUACGAACAGCAGCUGUUAUCACCCCCUAGGACCGAGAAGUCCCCAAGGACAGGAGCAGGAGCCAGAACCAGGAGGGGAUGUGGUAUGGAGAGGGCUGCCUUCCAGGGGCUGUGGCCUUUGGUAGAAGAUGCAGAUGACCCAUGGCAGCCCAGCAAGGAGGACACAGGGGAGUAAGUAGCCUGACCACUCCUUAUUCCUGCCUGGGAGCACUUGGUGUCCCUCGUUGGCUGAGUCCACCCUGAAGGCAAGGGCAAGGUGGCCCAUUGAUGGAGUCCCUGCACAGCAGCCUCAAAGGAUGCAGAGGGGCCAGAGUAGAGGAGGGUGAGUAGAAGAUACCUGGCCAGAUGAAAUUUCUGUAGCUUAAGUCAAUCGGUGACCCCGGUUCUGGCAAAGGAGAUUUGAGGGGAUCUCUGCUAGAGAGGGUCUGGGAAAAGGUUCUUGACUGUUAGGAAGGAGACGGCAGGAGAGCUGUUCUUUGUUGUGUCUGAUGUGAUGGCUGGAACUGCAACAGCCCUCUUGCCACCGUGGGGGAAGCCAGCCAAAGUCAGAACCAACCCACUGAGGACAGAGAAGUGAAGAGAUGGAAAGAUGGGUCUCUUUGAGGAACUGCUCUGAGACCGUGUUCUGCCUCUGAGGUUCCUUUUUUUUUUUUUUUCCAUGAGAUAAUAAAGGUUCUUAUUGUUAGAACCAUUUUGAGCUGCGUUUCCCAUUACGUGCAGCUCUAAGUUUCCUAAUGGCCAGAGUUGCCAUCCACCAUCUCCAGGCCCAUGUGCGAGCCCUCAUGCCUCCCACAGCCUGCAGGCCAAGCUGCCCGCGGGGUUGCACUACAGGCUGCAGCAGAUUCAGUGCAGAAUCGCAAAUGCUUUUUCGGUCUGUGACAAAAGAAAGAGUCAGAAGUGGGAGAUAGGCUCUUAUCUGCAAAUACUACCCUGUAGCUACAGAUGACUUCUGACCACGGAAGACAGAUGUCCACAGAGGCCGGUGAUACAGGGUGGUUGGGGGCCACAGGCCUUGCAGUCUGUCAUGACCCUGCUGCAAGUCUACGUCUGCUGCCUUCUAACUGUGUGACUUUGGGGAAGUUAGUGAACCUCCCGGAGCCUUGGUUUUCUCCCUGGAGGUGGUGAGGGUUGCAUCAGAUAGAAGAAGGAAAAACCAAGAGCUCUCACAGGAAUCCCAGACCUGAGAGGCUGCCUUCAAAAGACUUCCUCCCCGCUCUCUCCCUCUUUCUUUCCAUUGCUGGGUCGGAUGUGAGGGAGGUUGGGAAGGGUCCAAAGGGAUAUGGGCAAGACAAACCACCCAAAGGGAGGAUGUGGGCUCCCAGAUAGCAGUGACUUGACUUAGCGCCCACAAGGGCCCCCACGUGUCUGAUGUACGAAUGUACGAACGAGUGAAAGAAUAAAUGGGAAAAAAAGAAUAAGGUUAGAAAGAUGGGGAAUUUCACCCACAGCAAGAAAGGCAGAUGGAGGGCUUUGUAAAAUUCUAACGACCAAUACCCAGGACGCAGAUCGCAGAUCAGUUAGGAGAGGUGGGUAACGCGGUGGUAACAAAAAUUCCCGAAUCCCAGUGGCUUUAUAACAACUAUGUUUGUUUCCUGUUGAGGUACUGCAUGGUGGGUUAUUCGAAGUCACUCAGAGAUUUAGCUGAGGGAAGCUCCAUGUUGACAUGCUUCUAUAACGACAGCAACAGGGUACAAAGAAUGUGGCAAAAGCUCCACGCCGGAGCUGAGAUCACCUGCCCGGCAGUGUUUCACAUCACACCUGCUCAUACUUCAUUGGCCAAAGCCAAUCACACGGCCAUACUUGAGUCAAGUCAGUGGAGAAGCUCGAGCCUAUGUUCCCAGAAAAGAGAACUGGCAGUUUGUCAGCAUUCCUAACCCCCACCAGAGGGGUGCUUGGGCUGAAUGCAGCUCAGACCUGGCUGGUUUGGCCUGUUUGGUACUUUAAUUUUUUUUAUAUAAUACUUUUUUUUUUUAUAAUUUAAUGAAAAAAAAUGUUUUCAUGUUUACUUUUAUUUUUGAGAGAGAGACAGAGUGCGAGCAGGGGAGGGGGAAAAGACAGAGGGAGACACAGAAUCCGAAGCAGGCUCCGGGCUCUGAGCUGUCGGCACAGAGCUGGACGUGGGGCUCGAACCCACGAACCAUGAGAUCAUGACCUGAGCCGAAGUCGGACGUUUAACUGACUGAGCCACCCAGGUGCCCUUAUACUUUAAUAUUUUUUUAUGGGGUUUCCAAUAUAUAUGACAUCAAGAUAUGUCAUAUACAAAUCUGUAUAAGCCUGGCUAAAUUUGAAACAUUGGACUCUGUGGUAACAGUGAGUCCAGUCGUAUUAAUUAGGAUUAAGUUGGAUAGAUUAUAACAGAAAAACUCAAAAUAACAGAAGCUUAAGUAGGAUAGCUGUCUCUUAUACGAAAGAAGACGGGAGAUACUCUGGGCCAGAGAAGGAAAGGUUGAAGGCAAAAAAGGGUGCCUCCCAGUUGAGUUGGCUCUCUUUCUACUGCCUUCCCAGAAUUCCUGCACAAAGCUUCCACUCACAUCUUAUUGGCCAGAAAUAGUCAUAUGACUAUACCCAGUGCAAGGGAGGCUAGAGAUAGUCAUGGGACUAUGCUCAGGCAGAGGUAGUUUCUUUCUCCAGGAUACAAUUUGCCCAGCUGAAACUAAAUCCUUAUUCUGCUAUUCAAGAGGAAGAGCGAGAACUGAGGUUGCCGUAGGUACCUGAGUCUUGCCAGGGGGUUGCAGUCCUGAUUGUCUGGAGCGGAAUAACAGAUGCUUCACUUACACUGGGUUUGAGCUCACCAAUUUGCCACAGACUCCACCACUCCCUACUGUCUCCCGACCACUCAGUGUCAGUUACGAUUUAUCGUCGGGCUUGUGCUGGCUUUGGCUUUCUUUGUGGAAUUAAUAGGAAAAAGAAAUAUUUCCCAUGUCUCUGUUAAAAAUCAGAAGAGUAAAAGACAUACCAACAGAGACAUGUGUUUCCAGAAAGACAAGCAUGGAAGCAUAUUUCUUUGGGGAAGAGAAAAAUAUUCCUAGCUGUGUAUCAUGCAAACAAGGUGUAUUGAAAAAAAAAAUGCAAUUGAAUACACUAUUAUGAAACAGCCGAGUUGCUUUUACUCACCGCUCUGGCCUGGCAGGCAUUUUACUGGUUGCACAGCUCCCUGGGAAGACAGUGGGCCUCAGAUCUUCCUGGUUCUACACGGCUCACCCCUCUCCCGGGAGGAGAACAGCCCCAUUUUGUCCAACCCCUCUCGCCCCUCAUUUGGAAUGAUGUUGCCCUUCUUUGUAUUCAGGGCUUAUUUUGAGCAAGUUCAAAACCGUCUUGCAAAGUUCAAGAUCAUUAUGGCAGGCAAAAAUGCAGUGAAAUAGCACACCACUGUCAGUUAAUUACUAAAAAUCCUUUAAUAGCUGACAUUAUUAUAAAUUAUAUACCCAUUAUGACAGGGACAAUUGGGCUCUCUGUUUUUCUUGCCCUGCAUUGGAACCCCAAACAAUGCUGUCUUGUUGGGGAGAAUGACCUGGGUGCACUUGGAGGCAAGUUGGGAGUUUACACGGGCUACCUAUGCUGACCACAGCAGCCUGUGGGCCUCUGAGGACACCCUGUCCCUGGGUAGGGGUGAGGCAGCUGCUUGACAAGGCCUCAGAACCAACCCCGUCUCCAUUCCUACCUGUCUCCCCCACUGCUGUGGUUACAAGAGUCUCUUCCCAUGGCCUUCCCAACUCCCUCUGCCCUGUUCCCUGCUCCUCUCCACGUGUAGGCCUAGCUCAAAGAACCCCUCCUCCAGGCAGCUUCCCCUGAUUCCCCUUCCAAAGCUCAAGACACGUGGUUGGGUCUCUUUUGUUUUUGUUUUGAGUCAGGUGCACCUUAAGAGUCAACCUCAAUGAUUUUUCACAGAUGUGCACACUAUGUGGCCCCCUCCUGAAUCAAGAUGUAGAACUAACUCAAAAAUGUUCAUGUGCAUGGAUAUCCCCUCGGAAGCAUGUAAAAAAUGCAGCUUCCGACCUAGACCCAAGAUGCUGAUUCAGUGGCCUGGAAGGGCUGGUUAAUUGCACCAGAUCUUCAGGUGGAAGGGGGCCCACAGCCGACCCUUGGAGAAACCCACUCAGUGAUUGCUGGUGAAGUCCCUAUUUCUUAGUUACUUUGCUGUUAGGCGGGAGGUAUGCUCUGGGCCCUUCAUGUCUGUGUGUCUGCCCAGCAAGGUUCUGGGCCAGGAGUGGCACCCACGGGGUGAAUCCAGGCUGGGUGCAGUCUGAAGCUACAUGAUUUGGGGAGGCUAUCCUUUUACUUUGAAGUGUUUAUUAUUUUUGUGUGAGAGAGAGAGGGAGCAUGUGUGCACAUGCUUGCAAGUGGGGGAGGGGCAGAGAGAGGGGGAGACAGAUCUGCAAUGACAGCAGGGAGCCCGACAUGGGGCUUGAACUCAUGAACUGUGAAAUCAUGACCUGAGUCGAAGUCACAUGCUUAGCCAACUGAGUCACCCAGGCACCCCGGGGAGGCUAUCUUUAGGAUAAGUGCAGGGCCUUGGAAGGGCCCUCUACAAGGGACGUGUGCCCUACUUUGAAUCUGCCUCUGGCAGCCACUAAGGGUUCAUGGUCUUAGAUGUCAGGGUGAGAUGUCAUCUACUGGGCAAAUCAGAGCAUCUCGCCUCACCCCGCUCACUCCUUCCAUCUGCAGGAAUAUCUGUGCGAUGCUCAGCCCUGACCCCUGUUAGAAUCACCUAGGGGAGCUUGAAACAAAACCCAAGCCCUGACCUCACAUCAGAUAUUUUGAUUUAAUUGCCCUGGGGUGGAAACCAGGUUCUAGUAGUUUUUUAAGCUCCCAGGUGAUUCUAAUGCGUCGUCAAUGCUGAGAACCCCUGAGCAGGAGGCCUGACUUGGAAUUUUAAGCUGUUUUUAUCUGCUCCAGACUCAUACAAAGAGAAGGUCCCCUGCCACCCUUUUCCUUUUGCCUCUCCCUCUGAAGGGGCCAGCCCCCGGGCUGUGGUCAGUGUCCUCGACCCCCACCUCCAGAGGUCUCCCUCUACUGGGGACAAUCCACCGAUAAUACUGGGCGAUUAUCCAGGGCCAUCGUCAUCCUUUGGGCUCAGCAGACGCACUGCCCAGGGCCCAAAAUAAUUUUAGGGAACCUAUGAAAUGUUUUAAAAUUAAUUAAUUUAUUUUGAGAGAGAGAGCACAAGCAGGGGAGAGACCAGGAGAGAGAAAGAGACAGAGAGAGAAUCCCAAAGCAGCCUGACUUGGGGCUUGAUCUCAUAAACCGUAUGAUCAUGACCCAAAAGAAAAAAAUGACUGACAAUAAAUAGAUAACAACGAAUCUAGCCCACAGAGCAUGGCUAGUACUAGCGGGACUGAGGCCAGAAAUGCUUACCACACACAGUCUGCGUAGCCCUGGGGAGGAAACGAGAGCAUCAAGGGUGUCCUGGUCGGGGUAGGAAGAGAAGAUACACACACAGGAAACCAAGGGCGAGACGAGACGGGAUGCUCUCUCUGACGGUAGUCAGGUCUUACUUGUAUCCCUUCUUAUUUUUGUCACUUCCUUUGUCACUGGGUCACGUCCUCUUUGCUUUGGUUAUUUAAUUGUUUCAUGUAUCAAUUCUUCAACCAACUAUUCUUUUGUUGAUUUAUUCCUUUCUUCAGCCAGGGGUUGCUAUCUUAAUAAUUCAGCUGUUUUUCUAAAAAGCGAAUAUGUAUUGGAUUUAAUUAUUUUUGAGUGGUAGUUCUGCCCAUGCUGCAAAGAUUCAGAAGGUACCAAAGAGGGCAAGCCAAGACGGCUGGAGGCAGGAGAAAGGGAGGCUUCUUUUGGGCUGAACCUUUGGCCUUGUUUAGAUUUUGUGCCGUGUGUGAGCAUUACCUAUUUAAUAGAAUGACAUAAUAGAAUUUAAUAGAAUAACAUAAGCAAGCAAGCACACAAAAUAACCAGUUAUUGGUUGAAAAACAGUCUCCCUCUCAGCUGGCUUCCACCCCCAGACAACCUCUCCGACCCCACGGACAACCACCUUGACCAGCUUACCCUGUGUCUUUCCAAAGACGUUUUAUGAAUAUGCGAACAUGAUAGUUAAAAAAAAAAAUUGUGCACAUUGUAGCAUACU